rnacentral:RNase_P_RNA from 2 species
AGCCACGCUCGGAGCGCCGCCCGCCACGGAUUCAAUGGCGGGAGGAAAGUCCGAACUCCAGGGGCAGGGUGCCCGUCGAAAGACAGGACGGUGUUCGCUAACGCGGCCGCCGAUGGAAAGUGCCACAGAGAAUAGACCGCCGACUCCGCCAUUGAUUUGGUGGCGGAAGGUAAGGGUGAAAAGGUGCGGUAAGAGCGCACCGCUUGCCGGGUGACCGGCGAGGCAUGGUAAACCCCACUCGGAGCAAGAUGCGACAGGAGAAAGCAGCGGCCCGCUGCGCCAGAGGGAGCCUCCGCGCCACUGAUACAUUGGCGCGCCCGCCAAAGACGUAGUGGCGGGGAGAUCCUUCUGAUAUCUCCAGAUCAUCGCUUAGACGAAUGGUGCUCACUCGUCAGACAUGGGCGAGGACAGAAUUCGGUGUAUAGAGCGUGGCUUUCA